rnacentral:rRNA from 1 species
AGCUCCAGUAGCGUAUAUAAAAGUUGUUGCAGUUGAAAAGCUCGUAGUUGGAUUUCUGGCUCGGAACGGCUGGUCCGCCGUAUAUGCGGUGCGUACCGGUUCGAUCCAGCCAUCCUUCCAAGGACCUCUCCUGCCCUUCAUUGGGUCGGGUGCAGGCACUUGGAUCGAUUACUUUGAAAAAAUUAGAGUGUUCAAAGCAGGCGUUUGUCUUGAAUACAUUAGCAUGGAAUAAUGACAUAGGACUUUGGUUCUAUUUUGUUGGUUUCUAGGACUGAAGUAAUGAUUAAGAGGGACAAUUGGGGGCAUCCGUAUUUCGUUGUCAGAGGUGAAAUUCUUGGAUUUACGAAAGACGAACAACUGCGAAAGCAUUUGCCAACAGUGUUUUCAUUAAUCAAGAACG